rnacentral:misc_RNA from 1 species
GAUGAAGAACGCAGCAAAAUGCGAUAAGUAGUGUGAAUUGCAGAAUUCAGUGAAUCAUCGAAUCUUUGAACGCACAUUGCGCCCCUUGGUAUUCCGAGGGGCAUGCCUGUUCGAGCGUCAUUAUAACCCCUCAAGCUCAGCUUGGUGUUGGGGCCUGCUGCACUGGCAGCCCUUAAAAUCAGUGGCGGCGCCAUCUGGCUCUAAGCGUAGUAAUUCUUCUCGCUAUGGAGUCCUGGUGGAUGCUUGCCAUCAACCCCCAAUUUUUCUAUGGUUGACCUCGGAUCAGGUAGGGAUACCCGCUGAACUUAAGCAUAUCAAUAGCGGAGGA